rnacentral:rRNA from 1 species
UACGUAGGUGGCAAGCGUUGUCCGGAAUUAUUGGGCGUAAAGCGCGCGCAGGCGGCUUCCCAAGCGCCACGUGAAAGCCCCGGGCUCAACCCGGGAGGGUCGCGGCGAACUGGGAGGCUUGAGGCCGGUAGAGGUGGGUGGAACUCCUGGUGGAGUGGUGAAAUGCGUAGAGAUCAGGAAGAACACCCGUGGCGAAGGCGGCCCACUGGGCCGGUGCUGACGCUGAGGCGCGAAGGCGUGGGGAGCGAACGGG